UACGGAGGGGGCGAGCGUUGUCCGAAGUUACUGGGCGUAAAGCGCGCGUAGGCGGGUUGGUAAGUCCGCUGUGAAAGCCCGGAGCUUAACUCCGGAGGGUCGGUGGAUACUGCCAGUCUUGAAGGUGCUAGGGGGAGAUGGAAUUACCGGUGUAGCGGUGAAAUGCGCAGAUAUCAGGAAGAACACCCGUGGCGAAAGCGGCUCUCUGGAACGGUACUGACGCUGAGACGCGAAAGCGUGGGGAGCGAACAGG
rnacentral:rRNA from 1 species